GGAACAGCAGCAACUCUUUACAGAACUUUCUGGGAAGUGUUUACAAACGAAACAGAUCGCAGCUGACAUCUUAACCAUUCUGAGGCCUGCAAGUGAAUGACAGCUCACCUCCCUGCUGAAGGCUGGGGGGUUCUUUCUUCUUUCUGAAUGACCCUGGGAGGCAGGGAAAGGGAGGGAAGGACAGAGCUAAACAGGAGGGAAGUUAGCUUCGUAAAGAAUGAGGUGUCCAAAACCCUGGCAAAAUGCCUAUUUUUUUAUGCCUUCAGGUAAGAAAGCCAAGUGUUUUUACUGGAACUUGCUCUACAUUUCACACCCCUUUUUGCAAAUGUCUGCUAUAUAUGCUGAGCUGAGUGAGCUUCUGGACAGGAGUGACAAAAUUCUACAUAUAAAUGAUAUUAUACAGAAGAAAAAAGAAGUGGAGGACAAGUGACUGAAAAGGCAACCAGGCAGCAGCAAAGCCCCGGCUGAAGUCAUCUGUGCAGGACCGGACCAGCAGCGCGAAUUGGCCCCAGAGCCAGUUGCCACUCUCUGUUUUUCCCACGAGAUGUAGAUGGUGGGCAUCUCUCCUUGGUCUGUGGCAUUGAUGCAGCUCUCCACUCUGAACUCUGGCUGAGUGCCACGUGGAAAAGCCAGGACACCUCACCAAGGGAAAGGCUUGCCAGGUCUCCUGACUGAUAAGAGGAAAGUAAACAAUAUCCCUUUCGAAAGGAAGCUUGCUCUGACAAGGUUUUGGCCCACGUUCACUAAAC